ensembl:lncRNA
AUGUCGGCAGAUUUUGACGUAGAUGAAGACUUGAAUUUUUUUAACCAACCUUACUUAUUCGAACCUGAAUACACAGAUAUUGAAUUGCAAGAGAUGGAAGAGGCUGCCGCUGCAACACAACCACAGUCUCAAGCUUCCGAAAGACAGAGAGCAUUGGAGAGCUGGUGGUGUAAAUGUAAUCAGUGCCAGGCGAUGCCAACUGAACAGGAGAGCAUGUGCUGCAUCGAUUGGGACAUUGUCAUGCCACAGCUUGAAAGUUUGGAUAACGCAGACAAUGGGACAAGUGUAUUUUCGCUGUAUAACCGAGGAUGGAGCUCUCGUGAACGAACGUCAGAGGCCUACAAGAGAGAAAAUGAAUAGUUGAAUAAAGUCGUUCUUUUGUUUGUUUUUUUUCGCACGAAAAGUAUUAUCGUCGCUUGAGAAACGUACGGUUGAGCCACUGUAGUGGCAUGGACUAUUUAAACAUUUUCUUCACUGACUUUCUGGACGGACAAGUUUGGGCCCCCUUAAAGCCAAUGGAGGAGUAUUCCAGCGCUCAUAUUUAAUCACAAAAAUAUUAAUUUGUGAUCCAAAGAUGAACGAAAGACUUACAUGGUUGGAUCAACACGAGGGUGAGUAAUUACUGACAGAAUUUUCAUUUUUGGGUGAACUAUCCCUUUAAAUAUAUACAUGCAUGUGUGUGUAUUUAUAUAUACAUAAUAAAUAUACACAGUAUACACACAUAUAUUAUGUAAACAAAACUUUUAUUUUGGAUGUGAUUAAUCGUGAUUAAUCAUUUGACAGCCCUAAUUUUUACCUUUAUGGACAUUUUUACCUUUAUAAAGCCAUUAUUUUUCUAAAAGUGUGCGUAAUUUUUUCAGUCAAAUUCUUAAAUUGAAUCAGUCCAUUAGAAUGAUAAGUCAUUUGGGCUGUUACCAAGCAAAUGACAUCAGUAUAGACAAAAAUAAUUUUUGCAAUGCAGAGAAAACAAAGAAGCUGCAUUGAACGGGCAUUUAGAUGCAUUUAAACACUGUUUAAUGCAGGACAUGAAUGUAUUUAACCUGUAGUUACAAAUGCAUUCAUACCAUUUUGAUAUUUUAAACAUAAAACGUUGAAUACUGAUAUUUGAAAUUAUUUAAAAAAAGAAAGAAAGAAAAGAAAAGAAAAGAUACUUUAAAUGUGAAAUUAACACAGCCAGUAGGUGGCAGCAAGUCACUGUUAAUAAGUGAGUCAUUGCGACUGAACCGAAUCAUUUAAACGGUUGAUUAAUUAAGGAUCAAAUCAGUGUUAUGUUGCUCAGAGAUAUCCUGCCCCCAUAUCUUGAAUUUUGUGAUCAUACUAAAUGCAUUUUUGUAAACUAAAUCAUGUAGUGAAAGAACGCGCACUGGUGUAACCUACUAGACUUCCUGUCUUGACUAAACUUUAGCUAACUUACAUGGUAGCUCUCAAAUUAAUUGGAAAUGCCUUUUGGAUAAUUAGCUGUAAAUUCGAGGCACAGGUAGCUUAGUCUUUUGUUCAUCACCACUCACCUCCACACCAGGACAAACACACUGGAAAGGGAGGGAGGGCUUCACAUCUGUGCCUCUCUGUCUGUCAGUGAUGCGCAUGUGGCAGUCAAUGUAUGGUACACUGCUGUGCUGCAGAGACGCGGAGGGGAGAAAGGCAUCGACAGAGUCUCAACAUUUCCCUGCAAGACAUGAUAUUUAGAUUUUUUUUUUUAUCUGUUGGAUAGGGAAAGCUGUGCGCAAAAAGAAACACACACGCACAUAUAUUCAUUUAUCCAGGACUGAGUUUUACUGUAAAAAAAAAAAAAAAAAAAAAAUGUAGGUACAACCAAGUGGUACACCAGUGGUAUUUUGUGUGCUAAUUAACAAAGAGGCUAAGUGUUUUUCGGACCAUUGUUCACUUUUUAAAAUCGCAAACCUUUAUGAGAGAGUUAUGGUACGCAGGAACUGCAUCCGUAAAAACCGAUUCAUUUAUAUAUAUUUACUAGUGGAUUCGCUAUACUUUUAUUGUUUAGAAAGUGACCAAUAAUCUGUGACCAAUAUUUUAUAUGUAGAUCGAUUUCUCCUCUCUUAACCCUGUUGAAAAAAACAGCAUAUGCUGGUUUGGUAUGUUUUGACACUGGGAUGCUGGUUUAUGCUGGUCCUUUGCUGGUUUAUGCUGGUCCAUGCUGGUCCUUUUGCUGGUCCAUGUUGGUCCUUUUGCUGGUCGAUGCUGGUCCUUUGCUGGUUUAUGCUGGUCAUGUGCUGGCAAAGGACCAGCUUAAACCAGCAAAGGACCAGCAUAAACCAGCUUCCCAGCAUCAAAACAUACCUAACCAGCAUACUCAUUGUGUUCGAAUCAAUCGAAUCAAAAUCGGAUCGCACUGCAUCGUAACUGGGGUGAAUCGUAUCGCAUCUGUAGCUGCUUCAUAUGUAUUUUUAAUGUAUCGUAUCGUUGGCUAUGCAUCGAGAUGCGUAUCGUAUCGGCCUGAGUCAUGAGAUGCACAGUCCUACUACAAGAGCGUCCUGGCCCUGCAAUAAAUAAACAACCCGCCGUCUGUACUUCACCUGUCACUGAUGCUAGCACCUAAACCUUAUGAUGUAAUACAUGUAGGCUCUGGCUCGCCUCAGUGUCCGUUUUUUGACACAUACAUCCUUAAAUAACAGCCAACUGACUUUAUCACUGUGUAGAUACUGAUACGCCUCUGAGCUUUUCAAAUUGCUCAUCACCCUACCAUCACAGGAUACUGAAUCUACAAAAUAGCUAAAAAUGCUACCGUAUAUGAUAUGAGGCCACUUCUUCAAGUCAUUCUCCCAACCAUUUACCACGGAGGGUAAAAGGUACUGUCAUUUCACCCUUUUUAAGUUCAUUGAAGUUGUGUUCCCAUAUCGUUAGCAAGUUUGGAUCGUUAAAUCUUGAAUGACUGUCAACUGUUGAAUGAAUGAAUGAAUGUCACAUCUCACUUGUUUACUUCGAACCGGAAGACACUCCCAUUUUUUCAAGGCCUCAUGGGGCGUAGGAAACUUGUGGAUAUUUUAUGAAUGCAUUGGCCUAUAGUUACGAAACUGAACAUGUGUCUGACGGUACUCCAACAGUUUCACGGCAGCACCACCUUGUGGGCAAACGUUAUAGUGAAAUCUCCAAAAAUGCUAAUAACUUUUGAGUACAAUAGCUUAUUGUAAUGAAACCGGUCUCAAUAUAUUAUAUAUACAAAUUUUACCAUAGUCAGCCGAACUUCCUGUCUGCCAUUUUGUUUCAUAUUGAAAAACUACUUUUUCCAAUUCCUUUUUCCUUUUUCCAAAUUCCAUUUUCACCAAAUUUGACGCGUCUGAGGCCGUAUCUCUGCAAAGCUUUGACAUACUGACACUUUGACAUACUGAACUUUGUGUGUGCCAUUCUCACCUCGCACAGAACACACCACAUUGAUUUGAUAAUACUGGUCAAAUACUGGUCAAAAGUGAUAAGCCAUUAAAUCAUAUUACUAGUGGUUGUAUUUAUGCUUUUUCAGCCAUUUUGACUAAAAUCAUCUUAAAUGGCGUCAGUUACUCAUUGCUACAGUUGCUCUGAUGCUUGCUGCCUUGCUUGCUUCUGUAGUGCUUGGCAUGCUUACUGGUUGCAGCUAUAUUCCCCCUUGUUUUGUCUGGAGACUCCCUCAUUAUGGGAAGAAGGGAAAAUUUUGAGUCACCGCACAGUAUGUGUGAGGUACUCCUAUCUAUUUUUAUUUCUGCUUGAGUGCAGUUGUUCAACUACACUGGCAUGAGAAGCAUGCUUUAAAGCUGUGCACAUAUAGCAAGUUUGAUUUGUAGGAAGGUGGUUUUUUUGUUUGUUUGUUUUUUUCCCAUUUAGGCCAGUGCUAAAAAUGAUGUCAUGUUUUUAGCAAACAUCCCACAUGAAAAACAAGCAGCUGCAUCCCUAAAAAAACCCCAGCAUAUGCUGGUUAGCAGUGUUGGGGAGUAACUAAUUACAUUCAAGGGAAAUAACGUCAUUUAAUUACAAAAUAUUUGUAACUGUAAUCAGUUACAGAGAGAAAAAAAUGUGUUAUUGAAUUACUGUUACUUAUGAAAAUGUAAAGAUUUAAUUUAUUUCUUUCCCAAAUCGCAUUGACUGCUCUAAAAUAUAAGAUAGCAAUGUUUCAGGAGUUUAGGACACAGAAUAGGACCUGUUUCGUAUGAUAACUUUUAUUUCCUACAGUAUAUGGGUUCAUGUAUAUGCUUUUUAAGACUAACUGUUAGAUGCCAGUGUUUUCUGUCAUAGCUUUGCAAAUAUUUGAUUUCAAAAGUAUCUGUAUCAUAGCUAUUAAACUAUUAUUUCUUGUUGUGGUUUUAAAUCUGUAUUUCUUUCUACAACUAAAUGAGAGCAAAGCUGAGAUUGUUGUCUUUGGACCCCCAGGCGCUGUCUCUGAUAUCACUAUUAAUCUAGAUUCUAUCAUCAUCAAACAUUC